rnacentral:rRNA from 2 species
CUGGUGUCAGCCGCCGCGGUAAUACCAGCACCCCGAGUGGUCGGGACGAUUAUUGGGCCUAAAGCAUCCGUAGCCGGUACUGCAAGUCUUCCGUUAAAUCCACCUGCUCAACAGUUGGGCUGCGGAGGAUACUACAGCGCUAGGAGGCGGGAGAGGCAAGCGGUACUCAGUGGGUAGGGGUAAAAUCCACUGAUCCAUUGAAGACCACCAGUGGCGAAGGCGGCUUGCCAGAACGCGCUCGACGGUGAGGGAUGAAAGCUGGGGGAGCAAACCGGAUUAGAUACCCGGGUAGUCCCAGCUGUAAACGAUGCAGACUCGGUGAUGGGCUGGCCUUGUGCCAACCCAGUGCCGCAGGGAAGCCGUUAAGUCUGCCGCCUGGGGAGUACGGUCGCAAGACUGAAACUUAAAG